GACGGAAGGUGCAAGCGUUGCUCGGAAUCACUGGGCGUAAAGGGCGCGUAGGCGGCCCGCUAAGUCGAACGUGAAAUCCCCGAGCUCAACUCGGGAACUGCGUCCGAUACUGGCGGGCUUGAAUCCGGGAGAGGGAUGCGGAAUUCCAGGUGUAGCGGUGAAAUGCGUAGAUAUCUGGAGGAACACCGGUGGCGAAGGCGGCAUCCUGGACCGGCAUUGACGCUGAGGCGCGAAAGCUAGGGGAGCAAACGGG
rnacentral:rRNA from 1 species